rnacentral:rRNA from 1 species
GUGGGGAAUAUUGGACAAUGGGCGCAAGCCUGAUCCAGCCAUGCCGCGUGAGUGAUGAAGGCCCUAGGGUUGUAAAGCUCUUUCACAGGUGAAGAUAAUGACGGUAACCGGAGAAGAAGCCCCGGCUAACUUCGUGCCAGCAGCCGCGGUAAUACGAAGGGGGCUAGCGUUGUUCGGAAUUACUGGGCGUAAAGCGCACGUAGGCGGGUAUUUAAGUCAGGGGUGAAAUCCCGGAGCUCAACUCCGGAACUGCCUUUGAUACUGGGUACCUAGAGUAUGGAAGAGGUAAGUGGAAUUCCGAGUGUAGAGGUGAAAUUCGUAGAUAUUCGGAGGAACACCAGUGGCGAAGGCGGCUUACUGGUCCAUUACUGACGCUGAGGUGCGAAAGCGUGGGGAGCAAACAGGAUUAGAUACCCGUGUAGUCC